rnacentral:sRNA from 1 species
ACUGGGCAUGGUGGUGCAUGCUUGUAAUCCCAGCCUCUCCGGAGGCUGAGGCAGGAGGAUUGCAAGUUCAAAGCCACCUUAGCAAUGUAGUGAGGCCCUAAGCAACUCAAUGAGACCCUGUCUCUA